CAAAGUUUAAAAUGGGCCAUUCAUUGAAAGUGCGCCUUAUAAUCCGGUGCGCAUUAUAGUGCGGAAAAUACGGUAGUUCUAAUUUAGGUAGUUGUAAAUGUACCAACGGUUUUGCUUGGUGGACUCGCAUUUCUAAGAAUUCUAAGGUGACUAUUUUAUUACUGGAAAUUGAUUAAGCCUCAAAAUGUUUUCCAAUUAUGAGAUAAGAGUUGAAAUGUGAACAUUUAAAAAAAAAAAGCCCAUUGAGUGCUGUGUCUUUCCAAUGACAAUUUUUUUUAAUGUUAACCACUUUGCAAAAAAAGGCAAAACAAGGCUUUUGGGAGUUUGCUGAGUAUUUAUUGCUUGAGUUAUGAUGGAAAUCCACUACUCCAAUUACGAAUUGACUACUAUUCAGUACAUCUUAUAUAAUUUUCAUUUUUUUUAAACUCCCUACAACAUGUAUAUUUAUUGGCCGUUUCUACAGUCACAGUCACAAAACAUCCAGACUGACUGAUGUAGUCAGUCUGGAUGUUUUUUUCCUGAUAAACUUUGAAUUUAUGUGAUGUUUCAUUCUGUGGGUUUAUUUGUAUGUUUUUUUUUUUUUUAAAAGGAGCGUGUUAGUGGCAAAAUUGAUGCAUCAGGCUGUCGUAACACAGCAAUGUAUUGGUUGGUGAAAUCAUUGCUGCCUUUUUCAUAUUUGUGGGAAGUUGGGAGACAACCGAAAGAUUUUUUUUUCUUAUUCAUUUGAGUGAAUGAUCUCGUUAGCGGAUUUGUUUCCAAUUCGAUGUCAGCGUUGCUGCUUGAGAAAUAGUUACUUAGUACUGUAAAUCAUGCUAACUGACACAAUGAAAAUGUGAGUUUUUAGAAGACUUCUUCUAGAUCUGGACUAAUAUUUAGUCAGUUAUAUUAAAAUAUAUGCCAAUGUAGCUCCUCAACUACAAAACAUUAGAAUCAAUCUCAAUUUGCUCUUUCAAAAUGAGUCGUUGUGUUGGUACUUACAUGGAUCUUUCAGCUACAAUGGCAUUUGCACUGUGAUCUAGUAGGUGAUAACUAUGUUAAUAUGAUGCACCCACAACGUGAGAAGAGUUUUCUGAUACUGUAUAAAUGUUGCUAAUUUAUUUUGUAACAAAAUAAAAACACUAAGGUGCGUGAUAUGAAGCAUCCAACUGCUGGUUUAAUUGUUAUGGGCCAAAUGUUAAUAUUUCACUGACAAAGCGGGAAAAAUAGUCAUUUGUUAUAUGCAAAGUGCAUGAUAGCAAUGCAAACAUUCAUUGUAUCUGUGAAAACUAUUUUAACCAAUAAAUGUUUCUUCAUUCUUAAUAAUCUGA